UCAAUCUUAGCUUUCAGCCGAUUGAGUGUUGUAUAGAAACAAUAGAGAAAGAAAGAGCACUGAGUGUUUUCGAAAGAGAGUUCAGAGAGAUUGAAAUUGUAUCUGUAUGGGUGUGAGAUAUCCAAUAUGUUGGUGUCCUAUGCAGAAGAGAAUGGGGGUACUUAUAGUACUGAAACGAGCAAACAAACAAGGUAGCAGUCUAUAAAU
rnacentral:lncRNA from 1 species